rnacentral:lncRNA from 1 species
CACUCCAGACCCACCAUAAUGACUAGACUUCAAACUUCAAAAACACCUUACCAAUCCAAAAACACAUCACAGGAGAUCAGCAACAUUUGCUGGCAGCUCUUCAAUUACGACAUUGUAAAACUUUUGAAUAUCAAACAGCAUCCUUUCAUCAUCCCUGGUCACGAAAUUAAUGGCAACACCCUUUCUUCCAAAUCGUCCACUACGACCUAUACGAUGCAGGUAGUUUUCUGGCUGUGUAGGAAGAUCAUAAUUUAUGACCAGGGACACUUGCUGGACAUCAAUACCACGUGCCAAGAGAUCAGUAGUGAUAAGCACACGAGACGAACCAGACCGGAAUUCACGCAUGAUGAUGUCCCUAGUGUUUUGGUCCAUGUCACCGUGGGUGGCAGACACGGUAUGAUCACGACUACGCAUCUUAU